GAAAUGCGAUAAGUAGUGUGAAUUGCAGAAUUCAGUGAAUCAUCGAAUCUUUGAACGCACAUUGCGCCCGCCAGUAUUCUGGCGGGCAUGCCUGUCCGAGCGUCAUUUCAACCAUCAAGCCCCCGGGCUUGUGAUGGGGACCUGCGGCUGCCCGCAGGCCCUGAAAACCAGUGGCGGGCUCGCUGUCACACCGAGCGUAGUAGCAAUCACCUCGCUCAGGGCGUGCUGCGGGUUCCGGCCGUUAAACAGCCUUACAAAACCCAAGGUUGACCUCGGAUCAGGUAGGAAGACCCGCUGAACUUAAGC
rnacentral:misc_RNA from 1 species